rnacentral:misc_RNA from 1 species
GAACGCACCUUGCGCUCCUUGGUAUUCCGAGGAGCAUGCCUGUUUGAGUGUCAUGAAAUCCUCAGCUGCCCCAGGCUUUUGUGGCCUGUGGGUGAAGUUGGACUUGGAGGUAUGCUGGCGCAUGAAUGGGCUUUGUGCCCUGCUGUGCUUGUCGGCUCCUCUUGAAUGUAUGAGCUUUCCAAUCCUUGGCAAAGUAUCGUCGAUGUGAUAAUUAUCUAUGUCGCCCGAGAAAGCCGUAAAGGGGAAAUCUUCGAUCAUGCUGGGGCAACACCCCGCGUCUGACAAAUUCGACCUCAAAUCAGGUAGGACUACCCGCUGAACUUAAG